CCUACGGGAGGCAGCAGUGAGGAAUAUUGGUCAAUGGACGAGAGUCUGAACCAGCCAAGUAGCGUGAAGGAUGACUGCCCUAUGGGUUGUAAACUUCUUUUAUAAAGGAAUAAAACGAGGCACGUGUGCCUGUUUGCAUGUACUUUAUGAAUAAGGAUCGGCUAACUCCGUGCCAGCAGCCGCGGUAAUACGGAGGAUCCGAGCGUUAUCCGGAUUUAUUGGGUUUAAAGGGUGCGAAGAUGGGUUGUUAAGUCAGUUGUGAAAGUUUGGGGCUCAACCGUAAAAUUGCAAUUGAUACUGGCAGUCUUGAGUACAGUUGAAGUAGGCGGAAUUCGUGGUGUAGCGGUGAAAUGCUUAGAUAUCACGAAGAACCCCGAUUGCGAAGGCAGCUUACUAACCUGUGACUGACAUUGAUGCUCGAAAGUGUGGGUAUCAAACAGGAUUAGAUACCCCUGUAGUC
rnacentral:rRNA from 1 species